UUGAUGUGAGGUCAAUAGAAGUUGAUGAAUUUGGACCGUUGAGUUUGGAGGCUUUCUCUUCUCGGUACUAUUCUCCCUACUUUUCCAUAUGCUUUUGUUGUUUUAGUUUGAGUUUAGGGGCUUUUGAGGUGAAAACUCAGUUAAAAAGCUUAGCUUUUGAGAUUAACGAUAAAUAAGAAGAGAAGAAGGAUGUGGAAGGUGUGUAUAGCUUCUAGGAAAGUCUUUCCUUAUAAAAGGGUCUUAAGUCGGCUAAAGUAAGAAAGAUAUAGAAUCAGCAUCGAAUCAAGGAUACCUCGUAAAUAUGAUGAAAUAUGUUACGGGAAGGAAUUUAGUCGAUCUCUGGUGGAGAUCAAUCAGCCAUCUAUGGGUUUGGUUGAACUCUCUAUGGGAUUGUUCAUGCUUUUAUGGGAUCAGUCGAACUCAUUCUUGGAUCGGUCGAUCUAAGCUUGCUUUGCCUUAUCUAUCUUUUGUCCAAAUAUGAGAGAGUUUGUCCUCCCUCAAUAGUAAGAUUCCCAUGCUUUUGGAAACGGCCGAACUUGGCUGUGAUCAAGACACCAAAACUUCUCACCCUCUCUAAACAACAACCAGCUGCUGCGUAGAUCGAAUCAGAAGAUGCUGGCUAUUCUGUUUGCACAAGAUAUAGCUGUAACAUAUAGUAAUAGAUAUAUGUAUUACUUAUUUAAUUAAAAUCUUCAUACAAACUUAAGAGGCCAUAGGAAGAUCCUCAAAAACAAGACUCGAAAACCAAAUGGAGUGGUCACACAAUCCCUUUCUUGCAACCAACACUCUAAACUUAUUCAGUUAACAUCUUACUAGUAGUAUCCUUCAACUUCGAUAUCAAAAGAAAAGGGAAAAAAAAAA